CCCUCCCCGCACGGUUAUUUAUAACCACGGGUCGCGUUACCUCCUGACCUUCAGCUGUGCCCAGCGAUCCGCGGCGAUUAGCAUCUCCUCCCAGCCGCCCGCCGUGAACAAACGCCCCUCUGUGCGCCCUGGCCGGGCGCCGCCCCCGGGAGGGCCCUGCGGCUGCAGGACGUUGACCUGGAGUCUGGCUGCCCGGGCGACCCAGCGCUAUGAGGAAACUGAGGCUCAGAGAGGCAGCCACACAGUGGGAAACAAGAAACUGAAGCUCAAGGAGGGAGGUUCUCAGUCUCAGAUCUCACUGCCAGGAAGUGGCAGAGGCCCUGGUGUUCCUGACCCCUCUCCAGGUCCGAGAACCCUCCACAGCCGCAGUCCUUCUCGAAGGAGCGUGGUGACCGAGUGACUUCUUCAGGGGUAGGACUCAGGUCUGCAGGAGUCAGCUGGCCGUGCGGCAGAACAAUCUGCUGUCUUCGGUUGGGAGCUGUGUGAUGACUGCUCCCCGUCUUCUGCUCCUGCAAAUAUGGGGGUGGGGAGCUGGAGGAGGCCACGAUAUAAAGAAGCAAAAGUGACCAGUACAUGAGAGAGCUGGAGAUAAGGUGCUGGGGAGGGUCCCCCAGAGCAGAGCUGGCUGCCCUUGGCAUUUGGCCCAGGAAGAGGGGUGAAAGGAACCAGCAGUCACCAGAAAAGACCACAGGGUGCCCAGUGCCAGCGGUUGCCACGUUCUCAAAUGCCCGUGGCAAAAUGAGAACAAUAAGGACGAUAUAGUGAGGUUUUCAUAAAGCUAGAUCCAUUCAGGCUGAGACUGCCCUUUCACCUGUAUCUUCAAUCGUUUGUGUGCGUGUGUGUGCGUGUGCGUGUGUGUGUGUGUGUGUUUCAAAGCACCUUUCCUUUCAGUGUCCUCAACUCAGCAAAAUAAAAAACUGGUGACCAUGUCA